GGACAGAUGUGUCCUCCUCACCUCUGAUCCUGAGAGUGUCAAAGCUCCUGGGAGUGGAGCUUCCUCUGUGUGUUGUGGGACUGGCUGCAGAGCUUGCGCCAGCCCCCAAAGGGCACUUUCUUAGCCUUACAGAUAAGUAUUAGGAAAGAUUCCAUACAGUUUAAGAACUGUGACAGGACACCUCCUCCUCGACUGCUAUCUUCUCUUCUACCUCCCACCCGUCUUUUUUUUUUCCUGAAGAAAUUGGACGAUUUGAUGUUACAAUGUGUAUUGAUAGAUAAUGUUCUUACACUAGGCAAGGUGUUGCUCAGGAAUCUUCUGGACUUCUCACUUAAAUUCUUCUGCAGCCCUUUGAAGACAAUUGUUUCAAACCCUACCAAAAUGGAUAAUGCAUCUACAGAAUGACAAUCAAGAAGACUCAUGGCUCCAGGAGCAUGCAUAUACCAGAGGAUUGUCAAGUCAGUUAUCAAUGGGAGGAGAGGACCUUGACCCUGUGAAGUUUCUAUGCCCCAUUGUAGGGGAAUGCCAGGGCCAGUAAGCAGGAGGGGGUGAGAUGGUGAUUAGGUGGAAG